AUUCCAGCUCCAAUAGCGUAUAUUAAAGUUGUUGCAGUUAAAACGCUCGUAGUCGGAUUUCGGGGCGGGCCGACCGGUCUGCCGAUGGGUAUGCACUGGCCGGCGCGUCCUUCCACCCGGAGACCGCGCCUACUCUUAACUGAGCGGGCGCGGGAGACGGGUCUUUUACUUUGAAAAAAUCAGAGUGUUUCAAGCAGGCAGUCGCUCUUGCAUGGAUUAGCAUGGGAUAAUGAAAUAGGACUCUGGUGCUAUUUUGUUGGUUUCUAGUACUGAAGUAAUGAUCGAUAGGGAUAGUUGGGGGUGCUAGUAUUGAGCGGCCAGAGGUGAAAUUCUUGGAUUCGCUCAAGACUAACUUAUGCGAAAGCAUUCACCAAGGAUGUCUUCAUCG
rnacentral:rRNA from 1 species